rnacentral:rRNA from 1 species
AAAAGAGUAUAAAAUCUAGGUAGUAUUUGGAGGCUUGAAACUUAAAGAAUUUGGCGGUGUUUUAAUCUUAUUAGAGGAACCUGUUUUAUGAUCGACAAUACUCGACAAAUCUCACUUAAGUUAAUAAUUUGUAUAUCGUUGUGAUAAUAAUAUUUUAUAACAAUUAUUGAAAGUAAUUUUAUUUUUAAUAUCAGAUCAAGGUUCAGUUUAUACUUAAGUAAAAGUGGGUUACAAUAUAUGAAUAUAUUACGGAGUUUACAUUUUAAAAAUAAAUGAAGGAGGAUUUAAAAGUAUUUUUAUAGUAAUGUGUUGAAUUGAAUUAGCUCUAAAACAUGC